rnacentral:rRNA from 1 species
CCUACGGGAGGCAGCAGUAGGGAAUCUUGCUCAAUGGGCGAAACCCUGAAGCAGCAACGCCGCGUGGAGGAUGAAGGUUUUCGGAUUGUAAACUCCUUUUGUUAGAGAAGUAAAUGACGGUAUCUAACGAAUAAGCAUCGGCUAACUCCGUGCCAGCAGCCGCGGUCAUACGGAGGGUGCGAGCGUUAUCCGGAAUCACUGGGUGUAAAGAGGCGGAAGGGGGGAAAGAAAGUGAGCUGUGAAAACCUAGGGCCAAACCCUAGAACUGCAUUUGAAACUGUUAUUCUAGAGAACGGGAGGGGUAAGUGGAAUUCUUGGUGUAGGAGUGAAAUCCGUAGAGAUCAAGAGGAAUACUCAUUGCGAAGGCGGGCUGCUGGAACGGAACUGACGCUGAUGCACGAAAGCGUGGGGAGCAAACAGGAUUAGAUACCCGUGUAGUC